rnacentral:sRNA from 1 species
GGCGAUGCGUCCUGGUCGG